UUAAAAAGAAUAUAAAUUGUAGUAAUUAUUAAUAUUAUAUACUAACAUAAAAAAAAGGAAAAAAAAAAGGAAUUAGAAAAUUUACUAAAUAGAAUAUUUAUUAAAAAAAUUAGAUAGUCGAUUAUAAUUGGAGAAGGGAUUUGAAAAAAAACUCACUCGUGCCACGCCUAUAGAGAAUUCAUAUCGCUGACGAUGAUAAUGGUAGAAAUAUUGUUUCAUAAAAAAUUCUUAGGCGGAAAUUUAAAAAAAAAAAGAGUAAAAAAAAAUAGAAAAAAUAAAUGAGUAAAAAUGCGGCUACGGUUUAAGUGUUUCACUAGAAUGAAAAUACAUAGAGAUCCCUUAUCUAUAAGUCUUAUUAAAAUUAAUCCCUCAACUUCAAAAGUUCAAAUCUUUUUUAUUUACUAUCGAAUAUUUCAUCGGGUCCAGAUUUGAAAAUAUUCCGUGCCCUACCUAUUUAAAAGUUGGGUUCCGAUCGGAUCCAAAUCGGGUAUAGGUAUAAAAUAUCCGAACCCAUACCUAAAAUUUUAAUGGUUAAUUUUUUUUACCCAUAUACUAUCCAUUUUUUAUCGGACUCGGUUUGAGUCUGAACAAGAUCCGGGUAAGAUAUGAUAUAUCAGAUAUUUUGUACCGUUUUAAUGGAUAAAGAUUAAUAUUUUUUCUAAUAUUUUUUCACCUACUCUGUGUGAACAGAAAUGUAAGG
rnacentral:lncRNA from 1 species